GGCCUUAUGGUCUAGUAGUAUGAUUCUCGCUUUGGGUGCGAGAGGUCCGGGGUUCAAUUCCCGUGAGGCCC
rnacentral:tRNA from 1 species